rnacentral:rRNA from 1 species
GUCCACGGCCACACCACCCUGAACGCGCCCGAUCUCGUCUGACCUCAGAAGCUAGGCAGGGUCGGGCCUGGCUCGUACUGGGAUGGGAGAAAUGUUCACCCAGGCAUGUGGGAG